UACGGAGGGUGCGAGCGUUGUUCGGAAUCACUGGGCGUAAAGCGCGUGUAGGCGGCUUCUUAAGUCUGGUGUGAAAUCCCGGGGCUCACCCCCGGAAGUGCACUGGAUACUGGGAAGCUCGAGUACCGGAGAGGAGGGUGGAAUUCCUGGUGUAGCGGUGAAAUGCGUAGAUAUCAGGAGGAACACCUGUGGCGAAGGCGGCCCUCUGGACGGAUACUGACGCUGAGACGCGAAAGCGUGGGGAGCAAACGGG
rnacentral:rRNA from 1 species